rnacentral:tRNA from 1 species
UGCCGGAUCGUCUAAUGGUAGGACUCAGGUUUCUGGCACCUGCAAUCUAGGUUCGAGCCCUAGUCCGGCAA